rnacentral:lncRNA from 1 species
GGGGAUGGCAUGGGGUAAGCAUUCAUCUGCCAAGAAGGGGCUCUGGAUAGGGCUGACUGGAGGAAGGGGCCCAGGUCCCAGUAUCUUGAAAAAGUGAUGUCACUUCCUUGGUGACAGGCCUGCAACUGAUUUGGAACUCUGGUGACCAGGCACCUGCAUUCCACAACCGCUCACUUUACUGGAGACGGUUGAGAGAACAAGAUGUCCUCUUGCUGUUGUCCUACUUUGAGUUGCUCUGGGCUCUGGAGAGUCCAGAGUGAGAGAUGUUCACGUAGCUGUCGACGUCAGCUCGGCCCUCUUCUCCGACGUUUCUGCUUAUGUGGCAGGAGACCUCAACAGAGCUGCACCCAGGAGGUCUUGGAAGAGAUGGUCUCUGGCUUCAACUAUUCCAGCUCCCUAGACAAUGAUCUGGUGCUCCCGACAAACAGGGAUCGGUGCUGCUCUGAGCAAUCAACCCUAUCCGUGAGUGAGGCCAGGACCAUGCUGACGCUCAGAGAAGGGAGAAUGGAUGAUUUUCUACAGUCCUUGGUGCCAUCCUUCCAGGACAGAAGCCUCAUCAUCAACCCAGUCCUUUCUUGUCUCUACCAAGUGUUCACCACAGCCCAACGAGUCCUGGGCCAGCAAUUCUCUAGCACCCUCUCUCCCAUCUCUCGGGGACCUGGCCUGACCGCAAUCUGCAGGACACCUGGCCGUCCCUGCACCGGGCCUGCUUCGAUGUACAGGAGUCCUGGGUGCAGGCAAACCUGUAUGCCCUGUAUUGCCAUGCCCCCAUUAUCGUGA